GGACAACCUGCCCUCGGGAGGGGGAUAACCCCGGGAAACUGGGGCUAAACCCCCAUAGGUGAUGGAUACUGGAAUGUUCCAUCACCGAAAGUCCGCAAGGAGCCCGAGGAUGGGUCUGCGGCGGAUUAGGUAGUUGGUGGGGUAACGGCCCACCAAGCCUAAGAUCCGUACGGGCCAUGGGAGUGGGAGCCCGGAGAUGGACCCUGAGACAAGGGUCCAGGCCCUACGGGGCGCAGCAGGCGCGAAACCUCCGCAAUGCGGGAAACCGCGACGGGGUCAGCCGGAGUGCCGAUGCUUGCAUCGGCUGUCGGGGAGCCUAAAAAGCUCCCCAUAGCAAGGGCCGGGCAAGGCCGGUGGCAGCCGCCGCGGUAAUACCGGCGGCCCGAGUGGCGGCCACUAUUAUUGGGCUUAAAGCGUCCGUAGCCGGGUUGGUUAGUCUCCCGGGAAAUCUGGCCGCUUAACGGUCAGAAUUCCGGGAGAUACUGCCAGCCUAGGGACCGGGAGAGGCCGAGGGUAUUCCCGGAGUAGGGGUGAAAUCCUAUAAUCCCGGGAGGACCACCUGUGGCGAAGGCGCUCGGCUGGAACGGGUCCGACGGUGAGGGACGAAGGCCAGGGGAGCAAACCGGAUUAGAUACCCGGGUAGUCCUGGCUGUAAACGAUGCGGACUUUGUGUCGGACAAGCUAUGAGCUUGCCCGGUG
rnacentral:rRNA from 1 species